CCUUGUUUACAUCCGGGAGCAGACGGCGAAGGAGGGUCGGGAGUCAGCUGAAAAGUACAUACAUUUCUCAAGUUAAAAAAGGGUGUCGCUUUCUUAAUAUGAUCCGAAGACCUCGUGGAGUGACGGUACCCCAGCUGGCAGUUGUGACCUUCGUGGGCAUCCUUGGAGGUGUGUACAUCUGGAAGCCUUUGCUAGUGAAGUUCAAGGCAGAACAGGCUGGGAGCUCUUCGGGUGCUGCACCUACUGCUGAGUGAAGCAUAUACAACUUUGAGUGGGAUUGUCAUACACUAGAGUUAGGACAGAGACAAGGCUGAAGCUUGAAGAUAUACGUGGAGAGAGGUAAAAGUUGUAACCUGAAGCAAGAUGGUGACACCAGGACCUGGAAAAUAUCCCAUCUUAACGUCAGCUCUUUUUACAUCAUUAACCAUUAUUUUUGGAUACAAAUGGUUCAUUUCUCCAGUCUUGACGAGGAGGCACCGGGAUAGGCAAGAGGAGCUGGCAGAGCAAGUGUUUAGUUUUACAAGGAAAGAUGUGGAUGUGCCUCCAGGGACUCAGAAGAGCUGAAUGUAACUGAGAUAUUUUUUUAGUGUAUAUAGAAAGUCCUUCUGGUAAUAAAUGUUUAACUAAG